UGACUAUCCGGAACUAAGGUUCAAGCUACCGAUGGAGCGACUUCCCCACAGCAGCCCUGCUGCCUUCCUGUCAGUGCUGUCUUGCCGAGUGAGACCAGGCUGAGGAAGGUCACAGACAGCUGAAUCUGGACCAGCGACACUUCCCAGGCUCCUCCUGCUGGGCCCAGGCCCCGACUACCCUGCCCUCUCUCACCACUUCCGCCAUGCUGCAGAGCCACCACAAGCUAAACUGCCAGCUGUGGGCGUCCUCAAGGAAAGCAACGGUACAUAGAAGUACUUCCAACUUAGAGGGCAGAAUUUCUGCACCCUCAGAAGAAACUUCCUAGAAAACAAUACGCCUUUUAUCUUCAAGAACACAGCAAAAAUCACAUCGAAGAAUUUGCAGAACUCAAAUCCGGGAAAAUCCUGUUGGAGGAAGUGUCAGAAAAAGAAACAGGGACAACCUUGAGGUCCAAGCCGUCCCUUAGAACAGACUAGUUACAGUCCAGCGCCUUCAAGGAUGCUCUGAGCCUGCUUCCACCUGCACACCCAGACAUUUCUCCCUUGCUCCCUCGGAACAGAACCACCUCAGCAGCCACGGGGGACAAUGGGAAAGGAUAGGGCAGAGGCCCAGCUGGGCCAAGACUGGUGCCAUGCUCACCAUGACAUGACCUUCACGUGUGUCCGUCUCAGGGCUGCAGUGCUGCAACCCACAGCCAAGUAUCUGGAUGCCCCCUCCUGCCCAGGGAUGCACACACAGGGAACCCUGUCCGUCACACAGAAACACAGAUGCCCGGCAGGUUCCGUAUUGCCAGCACCCUUGGUCCUUUCCCUGACAGGCUUCAAGUGAGGAGAACAAAGAAUGAGAAAGGAGCACCUGCCUCCCAGGCUCACUUGUCUCCUCAAAAGGCCUUUCUUUCCCCAGUUUGACCUUUACAAAACUACACAUUUCUACAGACUGUAGGAUUCAAGUGAGAUUUUUUUUAAUCUGAAAAGUGAGAAGAACUCGUUCGUUCGUUUGGAGACUAUGGGUUAAAAUGCAGAGCGCACCAUGUUCUCCUUGGAGAACACUGGCACCCAAGCGUUCUUGCUCUUCACCACAGGAAGCUCUGGGCUCUGGCUGGAUUAGCUGCUCUCAAGACUGGGGCCUCCAAAUGUUCUCGAGAGUCAAGGUAGGAUGACACCGGGCUCUCUUCUGUGUGCCAUUCAAACUACACUGUGUCUUCAACAUCUCAUCACCUCCAAGGAGAAAACCCUGGGGGGGAGAGACAAAGUGCCCUCUGCACACUUGGCCAUAAGAGUUUCCCAAGUUUCUCUCUACUUGGACAUAUCCCAUUUCUGAACUUGGGUAGCUUAGGGCCCAAUGCUGCCCCACUUGCCCAUCCCUCUAGGAAAGCUUAUCGACACCAUAAAGGCUAUGCACACAUCCAAUUUCUCCUGGAGGAGAGCAGAAAGCCCUGGGAUGUCCACUCAGAACCAUGAUCCUCAGGAGUAGGUCAUACUGUCAAUCAAAAUACACCCUCCGCUCCACCCCGACAGCCAGGAGCAAACAAACAUCUAUCUCCUUGCAAGCCCUGCCCAUCCCCCAUAUCAACAGCUCCACACCCCCCAAAACAUUUAUGGGACCUCAAUUCCUCCAAACAGCACCAUCCAGCAUCCUGUAGGCUUGGAUAGCCUUGUCUUGGUCCCCACCACUUCCAUUAGCAGGCACAUUCAUUCUUAAUCAUCUUCCUGGACGGUCCUGGGCCCUGCUAACUUAAUGCCCUUCUCUCUUACCCACACUCCUUCACAUCACUUUAGAACCUGCCCAGUAUUUUCUAGACUCUUCAUUCAAGUGUUGCCAAGUCCUAAGCAGGCAUGCUGAACUUCUUGCAAAAGCCUCCUCUUCUGCACCUACUUGGGUACCAUGCCAUCCCCACCCUGUCAUCCAGUCCCCUAUACUCUUUUGCCCAUCCCAUCACCCAAGCGUGGCUUUGACUGAAGUCCUUUUUUCUGCAACCAAUUAUUACAAUCCCUUUUCCUCUGCUGCCUCAGGCAGCCACUGUCCAUGCCCCAGGUUCCGCCUCAACACCCCUCCCCACCACCUCAACUCCAUUCCAAGAGCUACCUUAUCUGAUCUUCCCUGCCCCUUGGUACAGCUCAGCCUCAAACCCCUCCCCAGCGUCAGUCAACUCACCGGCGCUGCCUGCCCUUGUCCCACUGCUCCUUGGUCCCUUACACAACUCCUCGGUCCUUCAGGCAGUUCUGCCUGCUCCUUCAUCCCACAGCGUCCACCAUAGGGCCACACCACAUCCAGCGCUCUCCAUUCCCCAUGCCCCUCCUAAUGUCUCCUCUGGAUCUCCCUAUCCCCUUGACCCCUCCUCAGGCCCUGACCGGCCCGCACCGGUUCUCAGCCUCCUCUCCGACCUAUUCGAUCCCACCUCAGGUGCUGUCUGUCACCCUCUGGCC
rnacentral:lncRNA from 1 species